rnacentral:rRNA from 1 species
GCAUAUCAAUAAGCGGAGGGAAAAGAAACUAACAAGGAUUCCCCUAGUAACGGCGAGUGAAGAGGGAAAAGCUCAAAGUUGGAACCUGUCUGGCCUAGCCAGUCCGGAUUGUAAACUAAAGAGCCGUUUUUCCAGGCAAGCCAGGCAAAAAAAGUCCCUUGGAACAGGGCAUCAUAGAGGGUGAGAAUCCCGUCUUUGGUCUGAGCGAUAUUGUCUUUAUGUGAUACGGUUUCAAAGAGUCAGGUUGUUUGGGAAUGCAGCCUAAAGUGGGUGGUAAAUCUCAUCUAAAGCUAAAUAUUGGCGAGAGACCGAUAGCGAACAAGUACCGUGAGGGAAAGAUGAAAAGAACUUUGAAAAGAGAGUUAAACAGUACGUGAAAUUGCUGAAAGGGAACCGUUUGAGGUUAGACUAGCUGGCCAGUAAUCAGUCUUGGAUUCGUCCAUGAUGCACUUGCUGGUCUUUGGCUAGCCAACGACAGUUUUUUCUGUGGGAAAAAAUAUGUAGGAAUGUGGCUCCGCUUUUUGGGGAGUGUUAUAGCCUGCUGUAGAAUACCACGGAGGAGACUGAGGCUUGCAGUGAAUGCUAUUAUGGCUUUGGAUCUGGUUGACUGUAUGGAGUUGUGGGCUGCUACUCGGCUUGCCGCGGCUUUCUGCCUCUCUGUGCAGUAUCUUCUAGUUUACCUUUAAUUCACUUAGGUCGUUGGCUUAAUGACCUUAAAUGACCCGUCUUGAAACACGGACCAAGGAGUCCACCAUAAAUGCGAGUAUUUGGGUGUCAAACCCAUAUGCGAAAGGAAACUGACUGGAUAUGAAGCCCUUGAGGCAGCAAUAUCAUCCGGCUUUGACGUUUUAACUGAAGAGACCGAGAUUGAGCAUUUAUGAUGGGACCCGAAAGAUGGUGAACUAUGCCUGAAUAGGGUGAAGCCAGAGGAAACUCUGGUGGAGGCUCGUAGCGAUUCUGACGUGCAAAUCGAUCGUCAAAUUUGGGUAUAGGGGCGAAAGACUAAUCGAACCAUCUAGUAGCUGGGUUUCCUGCCGA